UACGUAGGCAGCGAGCGUUGUUCGGAAUUACUGGGCGUAAAGAGUGUGUAGGCGGUGCUCUAAGUUCGGUGUGAAAUCUCCCGGCUUAACUGGGAGGGUGCGCCGGAAACUGGAGUGCUCGAGCGUGGGAGAGGAAAGGCGGAAUUCCUGGUGUAGCGGUGAAAUGCGUAGAUAUCAGGAGGAACGCCUGCGGUGUAGACGGCUUUCUGGGACCAUUGCUGACGCUGAGACACGAAAGCGUGGGUAGCAAACAGG
rnacentral:rRNA from 1 species